AACGAACGCUGGCGGCAUGCCUAACACAUGCAAGUCGAACGAGACCUUCGGGUCUAGUGGCGCACGGGUGCGUAACGCGUGGGAACCUGCCCUUAGGUUCGGCAUAACUCCCCGACAGGGGUGCUAAUACCGGAUAAUGUCUUCGGACCAAAGAUUUAUCGCCUUUGGAUGGGCCCGCGUUGGAUUAGCUAGUUGGUAGGGUAAAAGCCUACCAAGGCGACGAUCCAUAGCUGGGCUGAGAGGAUGAUCAGCCACACUGGGACUGAGACACGGCCCAGACUCCUACGGGAGGCAGCAGUGGGGAAUAUUGGACAAUGGGCGAAAGCCUGAUCCAGCAAUGCCGCGUGAGUGAUGAAGGCCUUAGGGUUGUAAAGCUCUUUUACCCGGGAUGAUAAUGACAGUACCGGGAGAAUAAGCUCCGGCUAACUCCGUG
rnacentral:rRNA from 1 species